GGGGAUUUGGCUCAGUGGUAGAGCACUUGCCUAGCAAGCACAAGGCCCUGGGUUCGGUCCCCAGCUCUG
rfam:Rattus norvegicus chromosome 5, whole genome shotgun sequence.